rnacentral:rRNA from 1 species
AUUGAACGCUGGCGGCAGGCCUAACACAUGCAAGUCGAGCGGAUGAAGGGAGCUUGCUCCUGGAUUCAGCGGCGGACGGGUGAGUAAUGCCUAGGAAUCUGCCUUGUAGUGGGGGAUAACGUCCGGAAACGGGCGCUAAUACCGCAUACGUCCUGAGGUAGAAAGAGGGGGAUCUUCGGACCUCACGCUAUCAGAUGAGCCUAGGUCGGAUUAGCUAGUUGGUGGGGUAAAGGCCUACCAAGGCGACGAUCCGUAACUGGUCUGAGAGGAUGACCAGUCACACUGGAACUGAGACACGGUCCAGACUCCUACGGGAGGCAGCAGUGGGGAAUAUUGGACAAUGGGCGAAAGCCUGAUCCAGCCAUGCCGCGUGUGUGAAGAAGGUCUUCGGAUUGUAAAGCACUUUAAGUUGGGAGGAAGGGCAGUAAGUUAAUACCUUGCUGUUUUGACGUUACCAACAGAAUAAGCACCGGCUAACUUCGUG